AGUCGUAACAAGGUCUCCGUUGGUGAACCAGCGGAGGGAUCAUUACCGAGUUUACAACUCCCAAACCCCUGUGAACAUACCAAUUGUUGCCUCGGCGGAUCAGCCCGCUCCCGGUAAAACGGGACGGCCCGCCAGAGGACCCCUAAACUCUGUUUCUAUAUGUAACUUCUGAGUAAAACCAUAAAUAAAUCAAAACUUUCAACAACGGAUCUCUUGGUUCUGGCAUCGAUGAAGAACGCAGCAAAAUGCGAUAAGUAAUGUGAAUUGCAGAAUUCAGUGAAUCAUCGAAUCUUUGAACGCACAUUGCGCCCGCCAGUAUUCUGGCGGGCAUGCCUGUUCGAGCGUCAUUUCAACCCUCAAGCCCAGCUUGGUGUUGGGACUCGCGAGUCAAAUCGCGUUCCCCAAAUUGAUUGGCGGUCACGUCGAGCUUCCAUAGCGUAGUAGUAAAACCCUCGUUACUGGUAAUCGUCGCGGCCACGCCGUUAAACCCCAACUUCUGAAUGUUGACCUCGGAUCAGGUAGGAAUACCCGCUGAACUUAAGCAUAUCA
rnacentral:misc_RNA from 1 species